AAUGACAGAGGACAAAGAGGGUUAACCUGAAGAUGUAUUAAUAGAAACCAUCUAAUCUAAAGAAGAGAGAGCGUGCUGAGAAAAAGGUGAACAGAGCCUCAGAAACCCGUGGGAGAAUUUCAAAAGCUCUAACAUAUGGAUAAAUGUGUCCCAGAAGGACAGAGAGAAUGGAGCUGAAAAAUGGCUGAAAAUCUCCCAAAUAUGGUAAAAGACAUAAACUCAACAGAUUUAAAGUAGCUUAAUGAACUCCAGAACAAGAGAAAUUCAAAGAGAACCAUGAUUAGGCACAUCCCAGUCCCACUAACUGAAAACCAAAGAUAAAGAAACUCUUGACUGCACCCAGAGAGGAAAAACAUGUUGCACAUGGGGAAGAACGAUUAGAAAAAGCAAGCCCUUCUCAUCUCUGGAGGCCACGGACACUGAAACGACAUUUUUAAAGCACAUAAAGGUGGAAUUCAGGUGGCAUUCUUUAUCUAUGGAAAUUUUUGAUCGUGAAAAAAAGACAUUUACAGAAGAAGGAAACUGGAAGAACUUGUUGCCAAUGGACCUGCUCUGUAAGAAAUGCUAAAGCAAGUUCUUCAGUAUGAAGAGAAAUGAAAUCAGUAGGGAACUCAGAGCUUCAGGGAUGAAUGAAGGCGACUGGAAAUGGUAAAAGGAAACAGAUAUUUUAAUACAUGCGCUUCAUUGGUAGAUCAAAAGCAACUAGAGAUGCAAUGCUUCAGAACGCAGAUGGCAGACUUGCCAGGCAGCCAUUCACCCUUAUGUGACAGCCUCUGCUUACGCUGAAGCUUGUUUUAGUCCAGGUUCACAGACAUUCUAUCAAAAUGGCACACGUUUCUCUGUGGCUUCUGUGAAAGACCAAUGGAGGAAGUGCUAGAAAACGAGGCCAAAGCAGCACCGUGGGCAGUGGUGCAGAUUCAAGGACACACUGUGAUUGUGGAACAAAAAUGUACUUCUGAGGCCUGUCCAAUUUCACUACUAAACACUUGAAGAAAAAAAGUGGCAGCUGAGUUUUAAGAUGAAUCUGUACAUCAAUAACAGCUAUAGGAAAAGACCCCAAGACCAGAAAUGCCAGCUACCAUGGGUCUCGCCUCUCCCCCCAUGUCUUCCUAACUCUAGCUGCCUACCAAAACCCCUGAUCCGGACAAAACACACCCCUCUACUACCCCAUCUCUACACUGAUCCAAGUUUCUGACCACACUUAAAGCCCAAUUUGAACUGCUAUAAUUUUUUGUUCCCCAAACUCCUUGUGGCCUUUUACCCAACCUCUCCCCAGCACUUCUGAUUGUUUAAAUAAUAAAAUAAAAUAAAAUAAAAUAAAAUAAAAUAAAAUAAAAUAAAAUAAAAUAAAACAAAACAAAACAAAACAAAACAAAACAAAACAAAACAAAACAAAACAUUCCCCUGCCUCUCUAAAUCUUUAUCAACACUCUUGACCUUAUUUUCUUCCUCCAGCAUCAGGGUCCUGCUCCACAAGUUUCCCCUCCUUUUUCCUAUCAUCAACUAAUUCUCCUCCAGGGACCUUUCUCCCACCUUACAAACUUGCUCACUGUGCCUUGUCCUAGAAGCAAACAAAAACAGAUCAAGGACACUACCAUUCGCCUUCCAAUCUCACUUCUCAAUGCUGUCUGCUUUCCCCCACAACUAAAUGUUUUUCCUCAACUUUUUUCCUGACAAAUUUGGUGAAGGUGGGAUCCUCUCUCACUGCAGGACUUUCCCACUUGUCAGGUCAUGCCCUCGCCUGGUCUCUGUGAUCUAGGCGUAUGCAUUCAGCACUUUAACAGACCAGUUCUCUAAAGGAUUGUUCAUCACCUCCCAGGAGUCCAUUAUCUUUGGCCUAUUUUCAGGCUUCAUCCUCUUUGAACUCUCUACAAUUAAUAUUCGGCACUGCUGGUGACCCCUCUUUCUAGAAAUUUCCUACUGUUCAUUCUCUGAUGCUGAGCUUUCCUAGUUUUUUCCCUGAUGUUUGUAUCUUUUUCUUAGCUUCCUCUUUUUCCUCUUGCUCCUUAUUCCUUAGCUUAUUUUAUAUAAUUUCAUUCAUUCUAUGGCUUCAGAGCUAGACUUUUAUGCUAUCUUAAUUUCCUUCCUCCAAUUCCUCUCCCCAUUCUGGGUGCCAUCAUUGCACUGAGUGACCCCUAAGGUGAGAAAUUCAAUGGGCUCGUCCAGGCCUCAUUUUACUGGACUCCCUUCCACAGGUUCAGACAUUGCUGGCCACUGUGUUCCUUUCCUUCUGCUUCUUUGACAUGUUAUUCCAUCACUUCCUUUAAUCUUUCUGGCACCUUCCCUGAUUCUUGUGCGAACCCUUGCUUUUCUGCCCAAACAUUAAAUGUUACAGUUCUUCACGUCAGUCUCUCCUCUUCCAACUGAGAGCUUACUUCCGGCUUCAAUUACAUGAACAUAUGGAAGACUCACAAAUGUAUACUGAUAGUCUACACAACAUGCUACUGUUGUUUAGCAUUAGUAUUGUUAUAACCAUCUCCUAUCCAUUCUAAUUGGAGGUUGGGCAUAAAUAGGGAAUUUAUGUCAUUUACAAAAUUAAUGUUAUUGAUUUAACAAGUGUGAACACUGGUUUUCAGAAUGGAACAAAUUGUUUUCUGACGAUCUCACUGUUUGACUGUCCAGUGCCACAACUGGUGUUUGUAAUAAUGACUGCAGUUUUAAAGAAUAGCCUCCUGCUUGAUAAAGUCUGUGUUUUAUGGAAGGAUGUUUGUAGUUUUAAAAGGUUUUUAUCCACAAAGUUUAACAAAUUUUAAAGUUCUAGGUAUUCAACCUCAAUGACUUCACUUUUGGACCAAGCUAUACAAAGGAGGUCUUGCUGAAUAUUAUCACGUAAAUAUUGGCACUGACCAUACAGGAAAUAGGAUGCAUAUUUCAAUGACUUUUCUUUGAAGGAUGUAGAGGAUUAUUCAUAUUGAAAAGCAAAAUUGGUUCAUAUUCUGGUUUGUAUGGCCAGUAAUUAGGCAGUAAAACUACUUCAGCUGAAAUCUAAACAGACUUGACAUAUUUCAGAAAAAAGUACCAAGAAAAUGAAACCUACCCCUGGAGUAUUAUUUUAACAUAUAGCUUCAAUGAUACAAAGUGAGUAACUCUGCCUUUUUAAGAGAUUAAAUCAUGAUCAUUAGACUUAUUACAGAUAAGGCCCUGCUAUGAAGAUAAAUGUGGUCAAAUAGACAACAAUAAAAAUCAUCCAGAGGCCUAAAGAGAUUGACUGCUGGGAAGAAUCAAACACAGGAAAGCACACAAGAGCCUGAGCCACUUUCCAAAAUGCAAGCAACUAUACGAUUUCACUGUUCCCAUACCUGCGGUGGGGGAAUUUGCGUGAUGAGACUUUUUUGGCAGGUUGAAGAUCUGUUCGCCAGGGUCGGGGGGAGGGAUCGCAUCUUGCCCUUGCCGCGCUUCUACAGGAUCAUACUCCUUCCCAUCGUAGUUAGCAUCAUAGAAUUUCUUAAACCAUUGAAUGAAAUCCAGGUUGUCCUGGAAACGCCCCUUCACCAGCUUCUCCACUGGGAUCACCUGCAAUAUAAAAUCGCCAUGUGAGUCGUGAACCCGUUUAUGAGUAUUUGGCACAACUGAAGCAUUUCCUAUAAACUAUUUUCUACGGGUCAGGGAUUAUUUACUGGUCUCCCCCUCAGCUUCUUGGCCAGCUGUAUUCUAGAAUUCACCUAUUUUUUUUCAUCAUAUGCAAGCAAAAUUAAAAUAAAAUGCUGUAGGUGUU